rnacentral:rRNA from 1 species
AACUUACAUGGCAGUUCGAGGGGGCAUCGGGGAGCGAAGCUUGCUUUGCUCCGCCGGCGACCGGCGCACGGGUGAGCCCCUAAUAUGCCACCUGCCCGUUUCAGCGGGAUAACCCGGAGACCUCCGGCCUAAUACCGCAUGUGGCCGAGGGGAGGCAUCUUCUUUCGGCCAAAGGAGGCGACUCCGGAGACGGAUGGGCAUGCGUGACAUUAGCUAGUUGGCGGGGUAACGGCCCACCAAGGCGACGAUGUCUAGGGGUUCUGAGAGGAAGGUCCCCCACACUGGUACUGAGACACGGACCAGACUCCUACGGGAGGCAGCAGUGAGGAAUAUUGGUCAAUGGGCGAGAGCCUGAACCAGCCAAGUCGCGUGAAGGAUGACGGCCCUACGGGUUGUAAACUUCUUUUGUCAGGGAGCAAUUGGGUCCACGUGUGGGCUCAGCGAGAGUACCUGAAGAAAAAGCAUCGGCUAACUCCGUGCCAGCAGCCGCGGUAAUACGGAGGAUGCGAGCGUUAUCCGGAUUUAUUGGGUUUAAAGGGUGCGUAGGCGGAAUAUCAAGUCAGCGGUAAAAAUUCGGGGCUCAACCCCGUCGUGCCGUUGAGACUGAUGUUCUUGAGUGGGCGAGAAGUAUGCGGAAUGCGUGGUGUAGCGGUGAAAUGCAUAGAUAUCACGCAGAACUCCGAUUGCGAAGGCAGCAUACCGGCGCCCAACUGACGCUGAAGCACGAAAGCGUGGGUAUCGAACAGGAUU